CUGGGUCUGUUACUGGUAGGUACAUUCCCCUGAAGUGCCCUGAAGACAACAUGAGAAUGUCCUAAAGGAUGUUGCUAAUGCCUAAACUACUCACAGUUUGAACCACAGAAGAGAGGUUCGUGAAUACCAGCAUGGAGUAUAUAUAUUUUCAAUAUAUAUAGAAAAUGUGCACAUGAAAAGGAGCUGAGAAAUUAGUGUUUUAGAAGUCUUAACAAAUAUGGGCAUGAAUCCUUCCAAGUAAUGUAGCUGUUGUCUUUGGGACUUGAUGCCCCGGAUCAAGAAAAAUCAGGGAUAUUUUAUUCUACAUUACCCUAGAAUCUCAAAAUGGUGUGAACGACAAUGUUAACAGCUGUGGAUGUAAUAUAAUCGACAAGGUAAUUUUGAAUUUCUGCUCUUGUUGAAGUUCUUACUUAGUUUUGGUCAUUUAUGUAUAAAUAUUCCCAUGUACUUGUCAUUCCUCAUUUGUAAAUUAUCUUGCUCUUUCAGAUAUCACUUUAACACUCCAGACUUUAUGGUUGCUCAACUUGUUUAAUGGAUGCCAAGUUCUGGCCCAGAGUCCUAUCACAUUGUUCAGCUUAUAUUGCUUUGCUUCCAUUGUAUGAUCCUCAUCAGACAGCAGUGGUGGCAGUGAUCAGGUUCCUCAGUGACUAAAUAGAAUGUGGCUAAAUAGAAAUGUUCCAUUCAAGUUUUAAAACACGUUCUCUGUGUGUAUGAAGGAAACCUGACAGCAAAAAGCAUAGUCGCAUGG
rnacentral:lncRNA from 1 species